rnacentral:lncRNA from 1 species
AUUGUCAGCUCUGCUCAGCGACCAGCCAGGGACCUGGGGCUCCCUCAGACCAACGUGGAAUACAUUCAGACCGAUGCAGCUAUUGACUUUGGAAAUUCUGGUGGUCCCCUGGUUAACCUGAUUCCUGGUUUGGAAUCAGUGGGUCCCAACGCCGCUACAUUGGAGUGAUGAUGCUGACUCUGACCCCCAGCAUCCUUGCUGAGCUACAGCUCCGAGAGCCAAGUUUCCCUGAUGUUCAGCAUGGUGUCCUCAUUCAUAAAGUUAUCCUGGGCUCCCCUGCACACAGGGCUGGCCUGCGGCCUGCUGAUGUGAUCUUGGCCAUUGGGGAGAAAAUGAUACAAAAUGCUGAAGAUGUUUAUGAGGC